rnacentral:rRNA from 1 species
AACGAACGCUGGCGGCAUGCCUAACACAUGCAAGUCGAACGAAGGCUUCGGCCUUAGUGGCGCACGGGUGCGUAACGCGUGGGAAUCUGCCCUUAGGUACGGAAUAACUCAGGGAAACUUGAGCUAAUACCGUAUAAUGACUUCGGUCCAAAGAUUUAUCGCCUGAGGAUGAGCCCGCGUCGGAUUAGCUAGUUGGUGAGGUAAAAGCUCACCAAGGCGACGAUCCGUAGCUGGUCUGAGAGGAUGAUCAGCCACACUGGGACUGAGACACGGCCCAGACUCCUACGGGAGGCAGCAGUGGGGAAUAUUGGACAAUGGGCGAAAGCCUGAUCCAGCAAUGCCACGUGAGUGAUGAAGGCCUUAGGGUUGUAAAGCUCUUUUACCCGGGAUGAUAAUGACAGUACCGGGAGAAUAAGCCCCGGCUAACUCCGUGCCAGCAGCCGCCGCAG